rnacentral:rRNA from 1 species
UACGUAGGGUGCAAGCGUUAAUCGGAAUUACUGGGUGUAAAGGGCGCGUAGGCGGGAUGGCAAGUCGGUCGUGAAAUCCCUCGGCUCAACUGAGGAUCGUCGAUCGAUACUGCCGUUCUUGAGGAUUGCAGAGGAGACUGGAAUUCCCGGUGUAGCGGUGAAAUGUGUAGAGAUCGGGAGGAACACCGGUGGCGAAGGCGGGUCUCUGGGCAAUUCCUGACGCUGAGGCGCGAAAGCGUGGGGAGCAAACGGG